CCUCCCGGCUCUGUAUGAAAUGGAAGAGACGUGACAUUGCGGAACUGAAAAAUCUCAGGGUUCGUCACCUGACUUUCAUGCUGAAGGGCCCCAGGGGGUCCAGGACUGGCCCCUACAUCUAACAGGAGAAGGAGCAGUGAUCCUGGAGAGAGCGAAGGACUUGAUCCCCAUCCCUCCAGUCGGUGGCAGAACCUGGGCGAACGCAGGCCGGCCUGGGCUCGUCGGGUGGUUACAAAACUAUCGGAAUCCAAGUAGGAGGAUGGGACAGGCCCCGGGAAGAAGAGAGGGAAAGGAAGAAAGCAGGAGGAAAUGCAUCUUGGUCAUCUUGGAAGGAAGAUGAGUAGUUAAGGUUUUCCAGCCAGCUUCGCCUUGGUUACCAGCUCUGCAGCCCUGACUCGUCACCUCCUCUCUGUGCCUGUACCCAUGUCUAUAAAACAAGAACUCUUGUACCUAACUGACAGCAUCAUUUGGGGAUUCGAUGAGAUGGCGACGCCUCAUAGUGGUUCCAAGGACAACAGUACAGAGGAAGGCCAAGUCUCUGAGGAAUUUCCUGAAUAAUCCAAAAUGCUCAAGUGUCAAGGAAUUUCCCCACACAGCAUCCAAGUCUAACCCAUUCUGCAUUUUGUCCCACUUCGCAUUUGAAUACACUGUAGUGAGUACACAGAAAAUUUUAAUUCCCAGUCUUUUUUUUUUUUUUCUUUUCCAGAGUUAAGUCACUGGGAAAAACUGUAAAGGCUAUUAAAAGGAAACAAGAACUUUGAAUUCCACCUAAACUCAUUUCAAUAGCUUUAUGUCCUUGGGGAAACCAGCAGCUGGUCAUUUCAGGAGCUUAGAAAGAGGGCAGGUGACUGGGGUCCUAACCCUGUUUCUACCUCUAACCCAACUUACAGCCUAAGCUAAGUCAUGCCCAUUCUCUCAGUCUCAGUUUCCACACCUGUAAACUUAAAGGUUUGCCCUAGUCAAACUUUAGGCUCCUUUCCAAUUAUCAGGCACCCCUGAUAUGUAUUUGGAGUUUUGCUACUUGCCUCCAAAGCAGGGAGAGUUUUGAAACUAGAAGCCAGCAUUUCAGAAACCUCAGCAAAGGAAGGCCUGUUAAACACUGGUGUUUGUUGAAAUUCAAGCACAAACACCAAUCACAA